GAUGAACGCUGGCGGCGUGCCUAAUACAUGCAAGUCGAGCGAACGGACGAGAAGCUCGCUUCUCUGAUGUUAGCGGCGGACGGGUGAGUAACACGUGGAUAACCUACCUAUACGACUGGGAUAACUUCGGGAAACCGGAGCUAAUACCGGAUAAUAUUUUGAACCGCAUGGUUCAAGAGUGAAAGACGGUCUUGCUGUUACUUAUAGAUGGAUCCGCGCUGCAUUAGCUAGUUGGUAAGGUAACGGCUUACCAAGGCAACGAUGCAUAGCCGACCUGAGAGGGUGAUCGGCCACACUGGAACUGAGACACGGUCCAGACUCCUACGGGAGGCAGCAGUAGGGAAUCUUACGCGAUGGGCGAAAGCCUGACGGAGCAACGCCGCGUGAGUGAUGAAGGUGUUCGGAUCGUAAAACUCUGUUAUUAGGGAAGAACAUAUGUGUAAGUAACUGUGCACAUCUUGACGGUACCUAAUGAGAAAGCCACGGCUAACUACGUG
rnacentral:rRNA from 1 species